rnacentral:rRNA from 1 species
CCUACGGGGGGCAGCAGUGGGGAAUAUUGGACAAUGGGGGGAACCCUGAUCCAGCCAUGCCGCGUGUGUGAAGAAGGCCCUCGGGUUGUAAAGCACUUUCAGUGAGGAAGAACGCCUGGUGGUUAAUACCCAUCAGGAAAGACAUCACUCACAGAAGAAGCACCGGCUAACUCCGUGCCAGCAGCCGCGGUAAUACGGAGGGUGCGAGCGUUAAUCGGAAUUACUGGGCGUAAAGCGCGCGUAGGUGGCUUGAUAAGCCGGUUGUGAAAGCCCCGGGCUCAACCUGGGAACGGCAUCCGGAACUGUCCAGCUAGAGUGCAGGAGAGGGAGGUAGAAUUCCCGGUGUAGCGGUGAAAUGCGUAGAGAUCGGGAGGAAUACCAGUGGCGAAGGCGGCCUUCUGGACUGACACUGACACUGAGGUGCGAAAGCGUGGGUAGCAAACAGGAUUAGAUACCCCUGUAGUC